rnacentral:rRNA from 1 species
UACAGAGGGUGCGAGCGUUGUCCGGAAUCACUGGGCGUAAAGGGCGCGUAGGCGGUCUCUUAAGCGUGUGGUGAAAGCCCGGAGCUCAACUCCGGAAUUGCCUUUAAGACUGCAUCGCUAGAAUCAUGGAGAGGUUAGUGGAAUUCCGAGUGUAGAGGUGAAAUUCGUAGAUAUUCGGAAGAACACCAGUGGCGAAGGCGACUUCCUGGACCAGUACCGACGUCAGGCACGAAAGCGUGGGGAGCAAACAGG